CACGUAGGUGGCAAGCGUUGUCCGGAAUUACUGGGUGUAAAGGGUGCGUAGGCGGGAUGGCAAGUCAGGUGUGAAAACGAUCGGCUCAACCGGUCGCGUGCACUUGAAACUGCGAUUCUUGAGUGGUGGAGAGGUAAGCGGAAUUCCUAGUGUAGCGGUGAAAUGCGUAGAUAUUAGGAGGAACACCAGUGGCGAAGGCGGCUUACUGGACACUAACUGACGCUGAGGCACGAAAGCAUGGGGAGCAAACAGG
rnacentral:rRNA from 1 species